UGAGGAAUUUUGCGCAAUGGCCGCAAGGCUGACGCAGCAACGCCGCGUGGGUGAAGAAGGCCUUCGGGUCGUAAAGCCCUGUCAGGUGGGAAGAACGACCGGGAAGUGAACAGCUUUCCGGUGUGACGGUACCACCAGAGGAAGCACCGGCUAACUCCGUGCCAGCAGCCGCGGUAAUACGGAGGGUGCGAGCGUUAUUCGGAUUUACUGGGCGUAAAGCGCGUGCAGGCGGAUUGGAGAGUUGGAUGUGAAAGCUCCCGGCUUAACUGAGAGAAGUCGUUCAAUACUUCCAGUCUUGAGUGCAGUAGAGGGAAGUGGAAUUCCGGGUGUAGUGGUGAAAUGCGUAGAUAUCCGGAGGAACACCAGUGGCGAAAGCGGCUUCCUGGACUGUAACUGACGCUCAGACGCGAAAGCUAGGGUAGCAAACG
rnacentral:rRNA from 1 species